GUCGUCGUCGUCUUCGUCGUCGUCGAUCAGGAUUUAGCUGGAUUCGUGUAAUACCGUGAAGACGAUGUCGAUGAUAUUUUCACCUCUCCUUCUACGAUCACUUCUCCACGUGCCGUAAUUAAAAAGGGGCAAAAAAGAAAGUAAGUAAGAGAGAGAGAGUAGAAAUAGAAAAAAAGAAAAAAAUAACAUGAUCGAAGGUCUGUGUGAUCCAAUCGUAUUCGAUCAAGGUUUCAUAGACGAUAAGAAACUCACGGAAAGGACGGCUGGAUAAAUGAGAAGAAAUUAAGAUCUUGAUUUUUUACCACGUCGAAGACUCAAGAAGAAUCUCAUUGGUUAAGCAAGGGGGUUCGGAGUUAAGGAUGGGGUGAUCAAGAAAUAGAAGAAAGAAGAUUAUCACGAGAUCGCGUGAAAGCAUUUUCAUUGUGAGUUUUAGUCCGUGUUUUUUUUCUUUCUUUUAUUAUUGAUAAAGGACGAUGAGAUAGAAGU
rnacentral:lncRNA from 1 species